GACCCAGCCCAGCCCGUCUUUUCCGCAAAACAUUAGCAUUUCACUAAGCACACACUGCUGUGCUGUUUCAUCAGACACGCCGCUCUGCUGUGUAUCAUAUGAUAUGGCAGCCGCUCAGGCAGGCGGGGAGCAGCGCAGCCUGUAAUUUCCUGGUCAUAUGUAACUGGGUGGGGAAGCGCUUGAUCCUUGGGGCCAGCAGGAUCCAGGAAUUCAUCUACUGGUGCCAGCAAGAAAGCACUGACCCAAACAAGGGAGCCAGAACUUGGACUGCAGUCCUUGCCAGGGAUCAGCAAGAGGCCAGAGACCAUGCUGCUGAGUCAUCACCGUUCCAGCUGCUACAAGCCUUUUCUGGGGACGCGGCUGUUGCUAAGAUUCCUGGGAGCUGACUGAUUGCUCCUUCUAUAGUCAUGUAACACACACAUACACGUCAAAGGAGCAAGGAGCAGCAGCUGGGGCCAGCUCAGAGCGAGCACACAGCCUGCUGGCCGUGUGCGGCCAGGCUCGGUGGCUGUGCGGGACUUCGUCCCCCGCGGUAGCUGCGCUGCGCUGCUGCUCGGGGCUCCUUUUGCAGGGCUAGAGCUACCUCGCUCCCUGGGAGCUCCGUCUGCCUCCCACUCAUGGAGGCAUUUCAAAAAUCAAACAGUCCAGGCAGUGAUUCUGUACAAAGUUUUCUUUCUGUUUGUACUUGCCCGUUUCACCAUAUUUCUCCCCCCCCCCCCCCCCCCCCACAUUUAGAGGUAGGAACAUGCUUAAAAUCUGUGCAGUGCAUUCCUUGCAGGGUCACUAUUGGGUCACUCUCUUCAUGCAGUAAAUAAAUAUGUUCAAUGAGCAGGCAAGUAAAGUGAACACUUUCCAGUUCUGGGGCCCAGAACUGAAACUGGUGAUAUUUCUUAUUAAGCCCUGUAAGGUUUCAGAGUAUUCUGCAGUUUCACACAUUGCACAGGGAGGGAAUGCUUGUUCAUGAGCAUCCUGCAUUUUCCUUCUCCCAAUUUAAUAUUUUAAAUCUUUUUAUUCUCCUGCCUUUUAUCUGUCUGAGAUACUUGCCUCCCUCAGAUGCUGCAGUUACCCUUGUUUCGUGCUCCACAUUUGACACUCAACAAACUACAUGUACUCAGGCUUUCAAAUCUCACGCUAUAUAAUCACAUUUAGGUUGUUAAAGCCUAAGGGUAUAGGACCUGUCUUUUCUCUGACAUUAGACACAUCACUGAUUUCAAAGGAUUAGCUAAUCAUACUAACAUUUAAUAAUAAAACUGAUGAUUCCAGA